ACUGAAAAAUCAAAUAGAGGGAGGAUUUCUUUCUCACGACCAAAACCUCACUGCUCUACACGUCUCUUGACCUUCUCAAUCCAUCGAGGGUUUGUAUUCUCCGCUCGGCUGCUGUUGCAAGUCCUUCAUCUGCUGUUAUCGGUUGUUGUUGCUUAAAAGUUACAGUGGAUAUUCUUUGGCUUCUACUGAACCUCUUGGGCUUGUUCUAAUUUUCUCUGCUUGGAACUUCCCCCUCAGUAGGAGUGUCACUGGAACCAUUGAUAAGAGCCAUAUCAGCAGGGUGUACAGCAGUUAUAAAGCCUUCUGCUAAUGAUAUUGAAACAGAAGGGAAGGAUGGAGGCAUAGAGAUUGAUUCUGCAUUGGAAAAGAACAGCGGCCGAGAUGCAUUUGAACUAGAUGAGGAUAUGAACCUAGAUGCAGAACUUACAUCCAUAUCUGUAGACCUGGAUUUGAAUUUUUAAUUUGAUAGUGCCAAUGAUCUGGAAAAUGAUAAUGAGAAAGAAGGGAAGGCUGGAGGCAUAGACAGUGAUUCUGCAGUGGAAAAGGAUAGAGGCCCAGAUGAUGCUUUUGAACUAGAUGAACAGCUUUCACCUAUGAAAGUUUCAAACCUAGAUACUAAUUUCAAAUUGGAGGGUGUCAAUGGUUCAGAAAAUGGUCUUACACUAGAAAUGAGUGGAGAAGAACACAAGUUUUCUCUUGAGCACUUUGUAAAAUCCAUCAAAUGGCCAAUUGGCUUGAAGUGAGGUAGCUUCUUGUGGCUCUUAUACA